CGUACACUCCUGCGGGAGGCAGCAGUGGGGAAUAUUGCACAAUGGGCGCAAGCCUGAUGCAGCCAUGCCGCGUGUAUGAAGAAGGCCUUCGGGUUGUAAAGUACUUUCAGCGGGGAGGAAGGCGAUAAGGUUAAUAACCUUGUUGAUUGACGUUACCAGCAGAAGAAGCACCGGCUAACUCCGUGCCAGCAGCCGCGGUAAUACGGAGGGUGCAAGCGUUAAUCGGAAUUACUGGGCGUAAAGCGCACGCAGGCGGUCUGUCAAGUCGGAUGUGAAAUCCCCGGGCUCAACCUGGGAACUGCAUUCGAAACUGGCAGGCUAGAGUCUUGUAGAGGGGGGUAGAAUUCCAGGUGUAGCGGUGAAAUGCGUAGAGAUCUGGAGGAAUACCGGUGGCGAAGGCGGCCCCCUGGACAAAGACUGACGCUCAGGUGCGAAAGCGUGGGGAGCAAACAGGAUUAGAAACCCCGGUAGUCCC
rnacentral:rRNA from 1 species